UUGCACUCGCUGAUGCACUUCUCGUCGCAUUUGCAGUUGGUGUGGUUUGAAACAAAUGGGUCACGGUCGAACGCACCGGCCGUCUGAGACGCGUGUGUCGAUAUCUUUGUGUUAUAAUUCAUUAGUCAGCUAAAGUCAUUUACUAUAGGAUAGAUUGUGCUCUGUGUCAUAGGAUGGUGUUAAUUGUGAAGUGUGGAAAGCCAAGUGGGAAGUGCUGGAGCUGGCGUAGUUGCGUGUUCUGUACAAGGACUCCGUGUCCGAACUCUUCGUGUUGACCGAAAUAGUGCGCGCGCUGCUGACGAAAUAUGGCUGCAUGAAUGACGCACAGUUUGAAAUGUUCAGUUUUAUUUUAAUGGGGGCUAAAGAUGAAACUUACACAUUCUCAGCAGCAUCGGUGUAUAUGAAGAAGGCGUCUGACACUUUGGGCACGCAUCGCUUGAGCCAAUAGUGCACUGUAUACAGUAUAGUGAGAAGCACGGCCAGGAAUGUGAUGGCGGCGAGGCAUACAUUGUGCUGUAGUCCAGCCGCCGCGCCGCAGGAGCCGCAGUUGGGCACGCCGUCGCAGGCGCUGAGCGAGUCGAUGCAGACGCGCGCGCCGGACACCUGGCACUCGAGGUUGGCGGUCCCGCAGCGCGCCUCGGUCGUCAGCAAAGUGCGAGCCGGCGUCAUCAC